GCCUCCACCGCGCUGGAAAACCUAGCCGCCGGCCCCCAAUCCCCGCACGCGCUCUCCUUGCCCAAUCCCGCUCGCGCUCCUCCCCCAAUCCUCUUCCUCCUCCCGCCGCCACUGCUCCUCCCCACCACGGCACCGCUGCCGUCGCCCCUCGCUGGCACGAGCUCUCGUGCGCCCCUCCCCCAAUCCCCUUCACCCUCCGGCCGCCACUGCUCCUCCCCACCACGGCAAACUCCAGCAGCUGCUCGUCCCGGCGCCAGCGCGGUGUGCCGCCGCCUCGAGAAGCUCGUCUUCCAUCGCCUCCCCAACACCAUCCUUCAUCUCCCGUGUUCUUGGUCGUUUUUCUUGGCUGGUGGCUGGAUGCGUGGGAGGAAGGACGACGGGAGGAGGAGGCUUAUUCGCGCACAGCCUCAACAGGAGGAGGAGGAGGAGGAGGAGGAGGAGGAGGAGAGGGGGCGGCGCUGGGUGGAGGAGGGGCUUGGGGCACCGCUGGCCUGGAGGAGGAGCUGCAGCCAUGGGAGCCUCGAUCGUCCUGUCAAGGUUUACUGGUUUUUAGUUACCUUGCUUGCUGAUCUUGCGCUUCGGCAUGGAGCAAAUCAACUACUGGUUUUUGGUUUACCUGGUCAGGUUUACUUGUGUUGUGGCGGCAGGGAAGCGCGCCCCCGGCCAGCCAGCCGGGAACAGACAGGUGACUGCGUGGAUGCAUAUGACACCGGGUUGGGACUUCUCUUAAUUCGUUUUUAGCUCUUCUCCUCCGCUUGUGAUCUCUAUCAUUUGUACAGGUGAUAGCAUGGAGAGGAUAGUCCGUUCGUGCCCAACAUCGAGGCACGGUGCUUCUGGCUGCACCUCCUUGAGUAUUUCCAGCAAAUCUGCACUAUAUGUUAUAUCUGUGGCACAGCAUCGUCGACAGCAUGGCAGCGGCGCUCUUCUGGCCUGUUUACAAAGCUUUGGUACAUGGCAUGGUACCACAGCGGACUGUACUUCACAAUAUACAUUUCUGGAAUAAGGCGUUGCAAUAUGAGACAGUCAAUUAAGAUCCGAUGAUGACCCUGAAAAUGCAGAGUUUAUCAAGUUAACUUGGGUGCCGAGGAGAUUUUACGUUCAUUGCUACUGAGCAUGCUAAUGUCCAUUGCUACUGAGCAUGCUAAUGUCCACUUGCCAUGGAAGUGAGGUAGUGCUCACAAUGUGUUUGCCACUGAGCAUGCUACUGAGCAGGGACAAACGUUGCAAGGUUGUGAUUAAUAUGCCUGAGCAGCAGAUGGAGAAGCUGCUGGAGAUGCUGCUGUGUGCACCAGCUACUAGAGAUGUUGCUGUGUGGAUCUGUUGUCAGAAAUGGAGAAGCAAGGUGUCGCUUGUGCUGCUUAUAGGUGCCUCGACGGCGGCGUCUGCUCGACCUGCAGCCUGCAGGUUGGUCCUCCUCGGCCACCAAGUCGUGCUCGCCUCUCCUCGGAGCAGCUCGCUGGUCGCCGCCCCAUCUUGCCGCUGGCGAGUACGUGGUUGCAUGUUGAAGGUCCUCCGGCCGCCAUCCUCUUGCAGCGAACCUCCAACCGGUCCUCCACAUCUAAGCAAGAUGUGUCAUGGAAGAAGAUGAAGUUAUAGAGAAGAUUAGGCCUUGAUGUUCUACAGCAAGGUGGUGUAUUGGAUUCAGUGGUGUGAGAUAUGGUUCUGCUGCUCACCAAUCAGUAGAAUUUGUUGUUGAUUUUCCAGGAGACACUGAGAAGGUCGUAGGGGACUGGGUGGCGGUGCUCCAAGCCAGCAGGGGGCUGGGUGGCAGUGUUCCACAUAAGUAGAACACUACUUAAUUUGCCUUUACAAAUUCUCGGAACUUAAGUAUGGGUGACGGCCUGCUUUUCGACAUAGAAGAAUACCAUAAGGAAAUGGUAAUUAACUUUUGAGAGCAUGUUAUCCUAUGUUUAAAUUUCUUUGAAAGUUGUGCUUCCGCAAGCCCAGGUGUCUUUUCUUGGCAUCCUUCUCUCUGUGUUCCUCUCCGAUGGAUUCAUAUUAUGCUUUAUGUGAUUUAUAGUUGUUUUUUGGCUCCUGGCAGUGUGAGUUAUACUAAUGACACACUUCAUUUAUCAUGCUAAUGGACCUAUUGGCUUAUUACUCCUGAUAUUGUUGUCCUAACCUUAUCUACGAUAUCUGGUGCAUUUCUUUUAGGACAGCUAUUUACAUCUAUGCAAGGAUACAUCUCUGAGCACCCAGCUUCUUCUAUACCUGUCAUUUCUGUUAGGACAGCUCUGUUAGGAUACAUCUGUUAGGAUACCUGUCAUUUUUAUUGUCAGAGAGACCUGCGUGAAUAAGUUCAUUAGGCAUAUGUAGGCAUUAAUAUAUGUGCCAAGGCCAACAUAUGAAAUAAGAAACUGAACAUUAGACAACCUCAAUGAGUGCAUUUGCAAUUUCAUGGAGUUAGGGACUGAAUCUGGACACUUUGUUUGAGGGAAAUGAGUUAAACUGAAAUAAUUCAGCUACGAACUGUUAUUAUCUUCCUUUUGUUUCCCAUAUUCUUUGCUGGCUUAUUUCCCAACUAAUUUUUUUAGAAACUACAUCCCACUUCACUGUGCUCAUAUCGACAGCCUACCGGGAAAAGCAUGUGAUCUUUAAUUUCAUUUACAUUAUUUGAAAGGGGUGCUUUUAACAGCCCUACCUUGAGCUUGAAAUCCUCCUAUUUGUGUCUGCAGUCAUGGUGAAGUUUUAGAGCUUAUAUACUUUAUUUAAUGUUUCUCUAAUUAUGCUCGUGCUUGCUUGCCAUUUUUUAUCUUACCAUUCUAAUCCAUGUGUAUGUUCUGUUGGAUCAUCACUAUCACAAUAUGUCGUGUUCCUUUUUGCACUGCAGUUUGACUGUGCUAUUAGAUAAUUCCAUAUGCUAGGAUUUUGUCUAGAACACUAUCUCUGGUUUUAAAAAAGAAAGUGUUGUGAAAAGCCGUUUUCUUGAGUGCUAUUAGUUAUAGCCAUUGCUUGCAGAUUUUCUAUAUUUUUCAUUUGGUGAGUUCAUGUAAAGAUUUUCUCAUAGUUUCUUGGUCCGAAUUCACAUGUUUCAGCUGUGCAUACCUCGACUGCUCUUCCUUUGGGUCGCCUCUUCUCUGUAUGUGUUUGGUCCAACAUAGAACUAAGAGGACAUGUCGGCUUUGUAGUUCUGUAUAGCAACAAUAGAUGGUGCUAUCUAUUUUUCAGGUUUCUAAUCAACUCGGUCUGCCUCAGAAUUAAGCUAAAGCUAAAUUUCUGGACAUAAUGCAUCAGCCAUAGCCCAUAGCAGUGCGUACCUCGACUAAGAGCCGUCUACCCAUGCUGGUGGAGGUGGUGGUCUAGCGAAGAAAGCUAGAAACUAAGUUACCCUGCGCCUGCAGAGAUGCUACUCCUUAAGAUCAGACUUAUUUUGCCUAUCCAUCGUCUAAUUCCAUGAUGGACUCAAAAACCUGUCCUCAGGUCUCUGUUGCCGAAUGUCUCAUUGUUGAUGUAUAUUGAGACCAGCUACCUCUGCCUUUUAGAAUCGGUGUUGGUUACACAAAACUCAUCAGGUUAUUGACGCGUGUUUCCAAACUGAUCGAAACUUAUGUAUUUAGCACUAUUUACAUGUGAUCAAAACUUAUGUAUUGAAUGCGGUGUGAAUUUCUAUAUUGCUUCCCAUGUGUGCUUCA